CAAGGUAGAGGCCUGCACAGGGUGGCUGGGGGGCCCAAGGCAGAGGCCCACGCUGGGUGGCUGUCUGUUAUUGACUAGCAGUCGAGGCUCUGCCAGGCUGGCCAGGGAAAUAAUCCCAUUCACCCUCCUCUCCUCCCCUUCCUGCUCUCCCUAGGCCCUCCCGGGGAAGGAAAAGGAAGCCGUCAUUCACUGAGCCCCUCUCCAGGCCACAAGCACACCACGGGCCGGCAGAUAGAAGAUACAGCGCUCCCACCAUGCCCACCCGCGGGUGCACCAAUUCAGGCUCAGAGCCCUCUGCCAAAACUCAUCCGGCCCCAAGUCCAGCCCUCUGUCCACUCCCCUCGCUGCCUCCCUUUCCUUAAAAUACUAAUGUGCAUUGCUCAAAGUGCCCAGAGGCAGCUUGCCAGCCUGGCUUGCCCGGGGUUGGCUUGCUGGCCUGGAGGGAGGGCUGAUCUUCUGCCAGGCAGCUUGGAGCACAGGGCGUGGGUUGGAAACACGACCUCCCUUGAAACCACCCAGGACUCAGACGUGUCAGAUCUCAACCCCCUUCUGCCCCUCCGAGGCUGUGAGAACUUAGGACCAUCGCCCCCCUUCUCUGAGCCGACUGCUCCCUCGACCGGCCUCCCCCCCAGUUCAGCAGGCGUGAGAGCCUUCUGUGGUCCUACAGAGCAAGUGCUGUGA
rnacentral:lncRNA from 1 species